UCCCGCUAGAGGCGCCGUAAUAAGCGCAAUUUUAACCUACUAACUUUCUCCCGCGCUCAUUGAAGCGUUUUUAUUACUUGACAAAGAGUACAAAAUUAUUAUUCUUAAUUAGAGAUUGUACUGUUGAGUACCAACUGUUUCUUUUUUGCCAUUAUAAACGCAAAAUAACGUUCAUCAUCACCGAUCUCCCACGUGACCUCGGGCCUGGAUUUAAAAAUUUUACCGGUAUUUUUCGCGAACACGGCAAGCACGGAUUCAUUGGUUCGUACACUUAUGCUGGUUGCUUAUUUUGUGCUAAAACCAGUUUAUCGCGCUUCGACACCUCGCGUUAUUUAACUUGGGGUGAAGUGACGGGUUUGCGAGAAAUGUAAGCCCGAAAGCUAGGUAUCGGUCGUGAGCCAUGCGGAACAAGUCUGCAUCGAAACGGGAGCCGGAUUCUGCUGCGACUGAGGACGGCAAUACCGACAUGCAGUAAAGAGGAACCAGUGUAAAGCAGCACUCCAUACACCAAAGACAAGCUACUUCCUGCUACAACAAGGCCAUUUUGUGGACUUUGGCUGUUACUACAAGAAUCUGCACCAAGCACACCAUGGACCUCAUCACAGGAGCCCCCAUCUACCCUGACAGGAAGGGGCUGGAGCCGAAUUUACAAGGAUUUUACACCACAAACAAAGAAGCGGAUGCAGAAGUAUUUGGAUGAGAUAUCAAGUCUACGGAGGAUUGUGUCAAGACUGAAAAGAGCCUCAGCCAUCAUUCCACCAGCACGGAUAUUGGCCGAGUCAUCCAGGUACCUCAACAGACUUUCUAGAAAUUCUUCAUGUUGAGAUGCACCUGCAACCAUUGAACAAGCACGGACGACGCUGGCCAAAAGAGUUCCAUCAGUUUGCCCUUCCUUAAUCAGCUUCCUGGUCAUGUCAAAUUCCACUUGUGCCGAGUAUACAUUUUUUUCUAUAA